rnacentral:rRNA from 1 species
GGGGAAGUAAAAGUCGUAACAAGGUCUCCGUUGGUGAACCAGCGGAGGGAUCAUUACUGA